GACGAACGCUGGCGGCGUGCCUAAUACAUGCAAGUCGAGCGAAUUUAUGGGAGCUUGCUCCCGUAAGUUAGCGGCGGACGGGUGAGUAACACGUGGGCAACCUGCCUAUAAGACUGGGAUAACUUCGGGAAACCGGAGGCUAAUACCGGAUAAUUCCUUUCCUCACAUGGGGAAAGGCGUGAAAGAUGGUUUACGCUAUCACUUAUAGAUGGGCCCGCGGCGCAUUAGCUAGUUGGGUAGGUAACGGCUCACCAAGGCAACGAUGCGUAGCCGACCUGAGAGGGUGA
rnacentral:rRNA from 1 species